AGCAUUUUGUGCAUAGCACAUGUCCACAACCGGUAACUAAGGGAUGAAGGUAAACUUUACGGCAGUAAGAACACAGAAAUUCCGACGGUACUGGAUCAUCGAAGUACUCCAAGUCAACCCCCAUGGAUGUACUCCUUCGAGUGGUCGCGAACGUAAACGAAUACCUCAAGUGUAAUAAUAUACGGUAUCACUUAUGGUGACGAUUUGUGUUCAUUCAACUGUGACGAUUUUGCGCGCUCUUUGAACAAGUGCUAAAAAAUAAAUGCACAUUCAGAAUUUCUCCCAGAUUUCGCAAGUUGUUCAAAUAAAUUUCUAAAUUUAAAUUUGAACAUUAAAGCCGCAUUGUCACCAGUUUAUGAGCCGUGUUUAUGAGUUGUUUGCCAGAGUUUACUUUAAAGAUUGACACGCAGCGGGCGUUAGAACAAACAAACAAUUUGAUAGCAGGCAGGGAAUCAUGAGCGAAACGGAAAGCCAGUUAACUGCUGGGAUACCAUUUCAAUGCAGUCCUCAUUUUACGGCAUUUUCUACACGAAUUCUGUGGUGGAAGGGGACGAACUCUUCCUAACCGCCAUUGUCCCAGUAGUGACCUUCGGCAGAAUACGAAAACAAAAA